CAAAGGCAUGGUCCCGACCUUACUAUCAGCUUUAGCCCAACUUACACAUGCAAGUCUCCGCAGCCCCGUGAGUAAGCCCUUAAUCCCCUGCCCGGGGACGAGGAGCAGGCAUCAGGCACAAACCUUUAGCCCAAGACGCCAGGCCGAGCCACACCCCCAAGGGAAUUCAGCAGUGAUAAAUAUUGAGCCAUAAGUGAAAACUUGACUCAGUCAGCGCUAAGAGGGCCGGUAAAACUCGUGCCAGCCACCGCGGUUAAACGAGAGGCCCUAGUUGAUAGUACAACGGCGUAAAGGGUGGUUAAGGAUAGUAAAACAAUAAAGUCGAAUGGCCCUUUGGCUGUCAUACGCUUCUAGGAGUCCGAAGCCCAAUAUACGAAAGUAACUUUAAGAAAGCCCACCUGACCCCACGAAAACUGAGGAACAAACUGGGAUUAGAUACCCCACUAUGCUCAGUCAUAAACCCAGACGUCCGACUACAAUUAGGCGUCCGCCCGGGUACUACGAGCAUUAGCUUGAAACCCAAAGGACCUGACGGUGCCUCAGACCCCCCUAGAGGAGCCUGUUCUAGAACCGAUAACCCCCGUUAAACCUCACCGCUUCUAGCCAUCCCAGCCUAUAUACCGCCGUCGUCAGCUUACCCUGUGAAGGCAAUAAAAGUAAGCAAAAUGGGCACAACCCAGAACGUCAGGUCGAGGUGUAGCGUACGAAGCGGGAAGAAAUGGGCUACAUUUUCUAUUAUAGAACACUACGGACAUGCAACAUGAAAUAGUGCUUGAAGGAGGAUUUAGUAGUAAAAAGGAAGCAGCGUGUCCUUUUGAACCCGGCUCUGAGACGCGUACACACCGCCCGUCACUCUCCCCUGUCGAAAUGCAAUAAAGUUAACUAACACCAAAGCUCUGACAAGGGGAGGCAAGUCGUAACAUGGUAAGUGUACCGGAAGGUGCACUUGGAUAAAAUUCAGGGUGUGGCUGAGCUAGUUAAGCAUCUCACUUACACCGAGAAGACAUCCAUGCAAAUUGGGUCACCCUGAGCCAACCAGCUAGCUUAAUCACCAGUAUAAUUCAACAAUAUUUAUAACAAAACAAGGCCCAACCCUACAAACUAAACCAUUUUUUUACCUGAGUAUGGGAGACAGAAAAGGUC
rnacentral:ncRNA from 1 species